rnacentral:rRNA from 1 species
AUAGCCGGGCUGAAGACUCUGCUUGACUAGCUGAGAGGAGGUGCAUGGCCGUCGUCAGUUCGUACUGUGAAGCAUCCUGUUAAGUCAGGCAACGAGCGAGACCCACGCCAACAGUUGCCAGCAUGUCCUCCGGGAUGAUGGGGACACUGUUGGGACCGCCUCUGCUAAAGAGGAGGAAGGAAUGGGCAACGGUAGGUCAGCAUGCCCCGAAUUAUCCGGGCUACACGCGGGCUACAAUGGUCAGGACAAUGGGUAUCGACACCGAGAGGUGGAGGCAAUCUCCUAAACCUGUCCUUAGUUCGGAUUGUGGGCUGCAACUCGCCCACAUGAAGCUGGAAUCCGUAGUAAUCGCGUUUCAAAUAGCGCGGUGAAUAUGUCCCUGCUCCUU